rnacentral:rRNA from 1 species
AGCGAACGCUGGCGGCAUGCUUAACACAUGCAAGUCGCACGGUCGGGUUUCGGCCCGGCAGUGGCGGACGGGUGAGUAACGCGUAGGUAUCUAUCCUUGGGAUGGGGGACGAACCGUGGGAAACUACGGCUAAUACCGCAUGACGACCGAGGUCCAAAGGCCGCGAGGCCGUCUGGGGAGGAGCCUGCGUCCGAUUAGCUAGUUGGUGGGGUAACGGCCUACCAAGGCGGUGAUCGGUAGCUGGUCNGAGAGGAUGA